UUUUGCAUAAUUGGUCAAUAUUUUGCCCAUAUGUGAAACAAGUUGGGGGCGAGGAGCUCAAGAAUUUGCUAAUUAGUUUACAACCCAUUUGAUCCUAUUGUUAUCAUGGAAUUGUUUUAUCACAUGACUGAUUUGGGUGUGGCUCACUUGGCUGAGGAACUUCAAAUUCCAGACCUGAGACAGAUGAAAAGGAAGAAAAGGGAUUUUGCAGAGGUAGCAUCAGCAACAGCUGAGGACCAUCUUGCGUGGCAAACUUGAAGAGGCUCGUGGACCAACUGGAGUGUCUUGAGGCAAUUUUGAUGCUUGUGAAAAUCCAAAACACUUGAUCUGGUCUCAGCAGCACAUACCUGAAUGAUGGCAAAUAGUUAUUUGAUGCGAUUGCAUUCUAAUGAUAUCACUCUUGAACUCGAUGAGGCUCUGCAGAGGGAGAUUCAAGGUGCAUUUCAUGAAACUCGGAGAAAGUCCCCAAACACCAUGGGAUGGAGAUACGGGCAUGAAUGAGCUAUGUCAUUAUGGGAAGGCAUUCCGAAGUUCUUUUCUAUUGGCGUUUAUCAUGUGCUCCGUGUUGUUAAUACUCUUCAAAUGAUUCUUGAUAUAAAGAAACCUCUUCUUA